rnacentral:rRNA from 1 species
ACGCUCGACACCUACGUGAGGCAGCAGUGGGGAAUAUUGCACAAUGGGGGAAACCCUGAUGCAGCGACGCCGCGUGAGCGAAGAAGUAUUUCGGUAUGUAAAGCUCUAUCAGCAGGGAAGAUCAUGACGGUACCUGACUAAGAAGCUCCGGCUAAAUACGUGCCAGCAGCCGCGGUAAUCUGAGGCGGGCUGGCAAGGC